rnacentral:rRNA from 1 species
UACGUAGGGGGCAAGCGUCGUCCGGAUUUAUUGGGCGUAAAGAGCGUGUAGGCGGUUUGGUAGGUCCGCUGUGAAAACUCGAGGCUCAACCUCGAGACGCCGGUGGAAACCAUCAGGCUAGAGUCCGGAAGAGGAGAGUGGAAUUCCUGGUGUAGCGGUGAAAUGCGCAGAUAUCAGGAAGAACACCCGUGGCUAAGGCGGCUCUCUAGUACGGUACUGACGCUGAGACGCGAAAGCGUGGGGAGCGAACAGG